GUUAUGUUUAAUAUUCCGGUGUGAAAAUCCCUUAUAUUUCAGUACGAAUAUAAGCUAUAUAUCCUAUAUAUUUUAGCUAUAACGUUAGCCUAAGUUACUCUCUGUGUGUAAUUUGCUUAUUUGUUUUCAUACUUCCUUUGUUAAUUUUAUUUAAAAGAAAGAGUUCCUGCACUCUGAAUACUAAAAUAUAGUUUACAUAUAAAAUGCUGAAACAUAAAAAUGGUAUAGUAAAAAAUAAACUAUUGUCACAUGUGGUAUUGUUUUAGGAGACACUUUGACAAGAGGACACUGGAAGGCCAAGUUGUGUGUGAGGAGAGCAUUCAGCCCAGCUUCCUGUCUGGCCUUGCUACUGUUCACUGCAUAUUAUUACAUAUUCAAUCAGGAGGAGCCAGCCUGCACCUUGGAGUUCAUUUAAAGAGAGGAACAAAGAAGAAAAUUGCCAUCUAAAAGGACAGGGCAAAUGGUACAGAAGAAACAGGUUGCAGUGAACCCACGUGUUGCCACUCUUCCCUGCAAAGUGGUGUGUUCAGUGGAAUUUCUGAAAUCCACUCUUUGCAUCCUGUGAUGGAACAGCAUCUGGAGCUGAAUUAUUCUCCAUUUUUGAUCAUACGUGUUUUGGACUCACUUGGGGCCUUGUUGUUUGGACAUGUUUGUCUGGGAACGAAGAGGUGACAAUUCAUUCAUGUCUGUUUUUUUUUUUGUUUUGUUUUUCAGAACCAUUUUAUUAUGAUCAUGUUGGUCAACUUGUUGUUUUAAAUGUCAUUUGCGUAUUUCUUCUUUGUGUGAAGGGCCCUGAUGGCUUAUUUGUUUUA